rnacentral:lncRNA from 1 species
UAGAGGAGAGCCUCAUUUUAAUCCCAGCUACAGCUGUGACUUAGAAAUAAUAGUGAGGAUAACUAAGAUAACUGUUGGCUAGGUAUUUAAUUAGCUAAGACUUUUUGAAACGCUCUUACAGAUAAUUCAGAAAUAUCUUCCACAGUAACAGAAAUUGGGGUGGGAGGAAGGCUGAUAGUAUUGUUUUCAUGUCUACAUUAGAUACAAAAUAACCUACUCUUUACUUUAAGGGCCCUGAGGUUCCCCUCUCCCAGGAAGUUCAGAUGUUUUGGCUUAGGGUCUUUUAGAGAUAGGACAACUGAGAGCAGCCCUCUUCCUCUGGUGAUUGUGGAGUGACCUCUGUGCUGAUUUUACUGAAAGAAAUACCUAAAAUAGGAACUAUAUCUGUAGCUAGUAACCCUCUAAAUAUAUAUUAGAAAGGAAACUGCAUUCAUGAACUUUAGUCUCCUGGGCACUUGGAUAUGCCUCUUGUGGUGCAGCUGAAUCCAUUGAAGAGACUGCUCUUCUCAGCUACUCCUCAGCACCUUCUGGCUGAAAGUUACCUUCCCUCCUCUCAGCCUUCAGACAAAGGGGACUUCUCUGAAGUAAUACAUGAGAUCCAAGAGAUUAAAAACAGGAUGCUGAAGUGGUAGGAAGAAUCCUUUUUGUUAGUUUUAAUUUUGAAAACUACAGAAUAUACUAAUAUACUUUCACAUUUUUAUUCCAUGUUGUUUAAUGGUAACAUACUUUCAAUAUUAAAACUUAUUAACAAACAUAAGUAAAGAUCUGACAUCCACGAAUUUCACAUCUAAAUGUGAAAUGACUGAAAAACCCUACAAUACUGAGGCAUUUUCACAAGUUCCUAGUUUCAGAAAAUGUGCCUUUAGGGAAUCUAGAGGGUAACAAAAUUUUUUACCAUAUUUUACUGGCAGCUUAGGCUAACGUUCAAAGCAGGUUUCAAAAAAGCUGGGAGUGAAAGAAACACUCUCUAAAGGGUUGUCAUUACAGCAAUAAUAAAAAUGUGAAGCGUUUCUAAUCUGUGAAAGAA